rnacentral:rRNA from 1 species
UACGGAGGAUCCGAGCGUUAUCCGGAUUUAUUGGGUUUAAAGGGUGCGCAGGCGGGAGAUUAAGUCGGCGGUGAAAUUUUGCAGCUUAACUGUAAAAGUGCCAUCGAUACUGGUUUCCUUGAGUAUAGAUGAAGUAGGCGGAAUUUGUGGUGUAGCGGUGAAAUGCAUAGAUAUCACGAGGAACUCCGAUUGCGCAGGCAGCUUACUAAACUACUACUGACGCUCAGGCACGAAGGCGUGGGGAUCAAACAGGAUUAGAUACCCGCGUA